UGGGAUGUAGCUCAGUGGUAGAGCACUUACCUAGCAUGUAGAGGGUCCUGGGUUCAAUCCCCAGUAUUGCAA
rfam:Ictidomys tridecemlineatus contig057276, whole genome shotgun sequence.